UACGGAGGGUGCAAGCGUUAUCCGGAUUCACUGGGUUUAAAGGGUGCGUAGGCGGGCAGGUAAGUCAGUGGUGAAAUCUCCGGGCUUAACCCGGAAACUGCCGUUGAUACUAUCUGUCUUGAAUACUGUGGAGGUAAGCGGAAUAUGUCAUGUAGCGGUGAAAUGCUUAGAUAUGACAUAGAACACCGAUAGCGAAGGCAGCUUGCUACACAGUCAUUGACACUGAGGCACGAAAGCGUGGGGAGCAAACAGG
rnacentral:rRNA from 1 species